CAUAGUUUUGGUCCUAAACUUACUGCUACUUUUAAUCAAAUUUACACAUGCAAGCAUCCACACACCAGUGAAAUACGCCCUAACACAGUAUAAAUGGAGCAGGUAUCAGGCACAACCGCCAGCCAAAAACACCAAGCUUUGCCACACCCACACGGGCCCUCAGCAGUGAUAAACAUUAAGCAAUAAGCGAACACACCAAACUAAAGCUUGACUUAGUUAUGAUUAACAGGGCCGGUAAACCUCGUGCCAGCCACCGCGGUUACACGGCGGGCCCAAAGCAGCAGACUCUCGGCGUAAAUAGUGGCCAGAAUAAUUACCCCCACAUUAAAAACUAAACCAUACCCUAACCGUAAAACACAGGCUAAAUGAAAUCAAGCACUUUUAAUAACAGGUAAUUUGACCCACGAAAACUAAGAAACAAACUAGGAUUAGAUACCCUACUAUGCUUAGUCGUUAAUAUGAUAUUAUAGUACUAAAAUAUCCGCCAGAAAACUACGAGCGAAAAGCUUAAAACUCAAAGGACUUGGCGGUGCUCCAUACCGACUUAGAGGAGCCUGUCCUAUAAUCGAUACCCCACGCUAAACCCCACCAAUCUUUGCCAUACCAGCCUAUAUACCGCCGUCGUCAACCCACCUCAUGAGAGAAAAACAGUGAGUACAAAAGUUCAAUAACUAAAACGUCAGGUCAAGGUGUAGCUAA
rnacentral:rRNA from 1 species